rnacentral:lncRNA from 1 species
AGGAAGAUGAGACACCAGUGGCCGCAGGGCAAAUGGAAAUAAUUUGAGCACACCAACUUGUUAGUGGGCUUCCUACUGACUACCAGGUAUCUGGAACCACAGAAAGUAUCUACACAGUGAGGAAAUCAGGCCAGAUGAGCUACCCAGUUACAGGUGGAGGAAGAGAAGAAACCAAAAUGACUGCAGCUGGGGCAGCUUAUUAGAUUGGGGCAACUCAUUGGGUUGUUGCUGGUCAUGCUCCCUACCCUACAAAAGCACGACAGCUGGAGCUAGAGAGGGGCUUGGAGAUGUUUGUUCCUCUUCCUGUAAGCUUAGGAGUUGUACAAGAUGGUCUCCUGCAGUACUGGGGGUGAAUGAGGCAGUGGGAGUGUUUGCUUCUCUCCUAAGGGAAAAAGCAAAACGUGUCAUGACCCAAGAGCUGGAGCAAGGCUCUAGGAGGCGUGCAGGUUUCUACUAAACAUCAACUGCACUCAACAGAAGGAGACAUAUCCUAUUUCUAACUAUGUUGCCUUGAAUCUACCACCCAAAGUGGCUUCGUUAGGUCUUCACGUUGAUGGAAAUGAGAAUUUGGCUGUUGGCACCCUUGUGUCUAAGGAGUUGUUUGUAUCCAGAUGGGUUGGUGACAUGGAAUAGUUGAUGGCUAGACAGAGGACCACAGAAUCAUAGAACCAUUUAGGUUGGAAAAGACCUUCAUGAUCAUCAAGUCCAACUGUCAACCUGACCUACUGAGUUCUAUCACUAACCUAUGACUUGGUGUCACAGGGAAGACAACCUUUUUCUUCAGAUUUGGAAGAAAAUGACCAACCCAAAUAAUGCAGUAUUACCAAGUCAGUUUUGCCUGUUUGGACUUCUCCUGGCUGGCCGUGACUUUAAUCCUUCUCUGGGAGUACGCAAAAUGUUGUACGUUAAUACAAUAUCGCCAUAGAGCCUCUGUCCUGGUGAUGAGAUAGAAUAGGAGAGAGCAGCUCUUCCUCCUUCCCCACUUUCUUCUAUACACACUCAUAGGCCUCACCUUGAGCACUGUGCAGUUCUGGGCACCACAGUAUAAAAAGGACAUGAAACUGUUGGAGAGUGUACAGA